rnacentral:rRNA from 1 species
CCUACGGGAGGCAGCAGUGGGGAAUAUUGGACAAUGGGCGCAAGCCUGACCCAGCAACGCCGCGUGAAGGAAGAAGGCUUUCGGGUUGUAAACUUCUUUUCUGAGGGACGAAGAAAGUGACGGUACCUCAGGAAUAAGCCACGGCUAACUACGUGCCAGCAGCCGCGGGAAUACGUAGGUGGCAAGCGUUAUCCGGAUUUAUUGGGUGUAAAGGGCGUGUAGGCGGGAAAGCAAGUCAGAUGUGAAAACUCAGGGCUCAACCCUGAGCCUGCAUUUGAAACUGUUUUUCUUGAGUGCUGGAGAGGCAAUCGGAAUUCCGGGUGUAGCGGUGAAAUGCGUAGAGAUACGGAGGAACACCAGUGGCGAAGGCGGAUUGCUGGACAGUAACUGACGCUGAGGCACGAAGGCCAGGGGAGCGAAAGGGAUUAGAUACCCGAGUAGUC